ACAUAUGCCGGGAGGGGACAUCCCUUCGGCCGACGGAAGGGCNCCCGGUCACGGAUGGGCAUGCGGCGCAUUAGGUAGUUGGUGGGGCAACGGCCCACCAAGCCGACGAUGCGUAGGGGUUCUGAGAGGAAGGUCCCCCACAUUGGAACUGAGACACGGUCCAAACUCCUACGGAAGGCAGCAG
rnacentral:rRNA from 1 species